UGGCCUUGACACAACCUUUCCCCGCCC
rnacentral:piRNA from 1 species